GCAUUAAUGGGGUAGUGGUAACCUGGGUCGUUGCCACUUAACCGUGUCGACCCGCCGGGAGUUCGAUUCUCUCUUAAUGCA
rnacentral:tRNA from 1 species